UCGGCAGCGACGGAACAGAAGGGAAAUACACAUUUGUAGCCUGUACUGUGAUGAAACCAAUAUUGGGAGAUGGUCGCGAUGGCAAAAUAGCCCAACAAGUCAGUCAAGUGAAUAGAGGUGAUGUGGCAGCUGCAACCAGGUAGACUCAAGAGGCUUGGCAUUUUGUUCUCCAUUCUAUGAUAGAUGGAAGCUAUAAUCUCACACCCCAACCUCAAUGCCCAAUGGAAUUUUACAAUAUUGUACAAUGGGAUAUAGAGGAUUGUUGGCUUCUCAUAGCCAGAUCAAACCUGGGAUUUUUUCCCCCACAGAUAAACCGAAGAUAAGAGUUUCUGCCUGCUUCACGGUCCAUUAUUACUUUUGGUACGCGCUCGGCCAGUCUCAAACUCGUACCGUGAGUAAUAAUGCACUGUGGCUGUCACUGCCAACGAGAGACGGACAGCACCACAGUUCUCCAUAAUCCUAUGCUUCUCAUCGUUGUAUAGCCAGUUGUGAAGCAGGAAAUGUGAUGAAAACUCAGCCCUUGUGUCAGAAUGACAGCAUUUGAAUACAAUAAUUUAGGAUACUUUCAUAUCCAGGGAAGAAAUUGACUAGCCAGUUUACUUAAAUGUUAUUGUUGAAUUAUUUACUUUAAAUAUGUUGUUGAAUGUAACACUGACAUUUGAAAAUUAUAACUCUAAAUGGUAAAUCUUAUUUAUACUUGCAAAAGAAAUUCCCUGUGCCUUGUGACUGUUAUAUUUAUGUUGACUGCAUAUGUCUAGUUUCAGUACAUUGAAACAGUCAUAUUAGGCUAUAGCCUAUUAUUAUGUCUUAAUUCUUUGUAGGAUUUUUUUUCUUUUUCUCAAAUAUCAAAAAAUGGGCCUAUAAUUGAAUAAUGUUCAGAAACAUUAUAGCCAACUCUCCUAGUUGGACAUGUUUUGAAAUAGACAAUUACAUUGCAGUGCCUGUUUAAUAAAUUUUCAUUAUAAUUGACAACUCAAUUCUACACUUAGAGGCGAAAUUGAAUACACAAUCAGUCUCUGAACAAAGCGACCCUGAUGCACCCAUUGACAAGUUUUUUAAUAGAGAGGCUAGGCUAUGUCAUAAACCCUCAAAGUUCCAGAAUGAGGUGAAAAUGGCAGCUAUUGUGGUUAGGGAGAAAUCCAAAUGGAAUGAAUGGAAGUAGAGGCAGAGGUGAUGCAUUACCUGAAAAUAAAAGUAAGGCAUGGGAUAUAUCUCAAA